rnacentral:rRNA from 1 species
ACUGGGAGAGUAUUCAGAAGACGGCGUGACUUGAGGGUGAGAGAGGGACACGGAAUUCCGGGUGUAGUGGUGAAAUGCGUAGAUAUCCGGAGGAACACCGAAGGCGAAGGCAGUGUCCUGGCUCAUACCUGACGCUGAGGGGCGAGAGCUAGGGGAGCGAACGGGAUUAGAUACCCCGGUAGUCCUAGCCGUAAACGAUGACCACUAGGUGUGCGAGGUAUCGACCUCUUGCGUGCCGUCGCAAACGCAAUAAGUGGUCCGCCUGGGGAGUACGGUCGCAAGAUUAAAACUCAAAGGAAUUGACGGGGACCCGCACAAGCAGCGGAGCGUGUGGUUUAAUUCGAUGCAACGCGAAGAACCUUACCAGGGUUUGACAUGCUUUUGCACCGCCGAGAGAUCGGCGUCCUCGCAAGAGGCGGAAGCACAGGUGCUGCAUGGCUGUCGUCAGCUCGUGCCGUGAGGUGUUGGGUUAAGUCCCGCAACGAGCGCAACCCCCGUGGUCGGUUGUAAGUUUCCGACCAGACUGCCACGAUCAACGUGGAGGAAGGUGGGGAUGACGUCAAGUCAGCACGGCCCUUACGUCCUGGGCGACACACACGCUACAAUGGCCGAGACAACGGGACGCCAACCCGCGAGGGGGAGCCAAUCCCAGCAAACUCGGUCUCAGUUCAGAUUGCAGGCUGCAACCCGCCUGCAUGAAGAUGGAGUUGCUAGUAACCGUGGGUCAGCACACCACGGUGAAUACGUUCCCGGGUCUUGUACACACCGCCCGUCACACCACGAAAGUCGGCAACACCUGAAGCCGCUGGGCUAACCUCUCAGGAGGAGGCACGCGUCGAGGGUGGGGUCGGUGAUUGGGGUGAAGUCGUAACAAGGUACCAAUCCCGCGG